GCAUUUAUUAGACUUAACAUAGAAUGCAUACUUGGACCAAGGGCAUUAUUUCCUUCAGUGUACAACCUCCGCAAGCCGCCGCUGUCCCCGCCGUGCUCUGUCCGCCGGCCAACACUCCUUGUUCUCUCUUUUGGCGGAGAAUUCUUUGUGGGCGACUUUUGAAUUCGUUAAAGUGGCCUAUCAGUUUGUUUACACAAGUCUCUAAGGAUCAAUAAGCAUUGUCCAUCUGCAGGUUUGAAGAUGAUGCAUCAUUGGGAUCGGGAU